rnacentral:lncRNA from 1 species
CCUCGCUCCAGCUCCAGCGUCCCUGUCACCUGGACAGCGUGAGGUUGGCUCAGCCGGCGUGGGGCGCAAUCUUCAAUCAAGACCCGUGAUGCUUCACGUCUUCCUUCCUACUGCGGCUUCACUCUCACGGAUGAACUUCUGGAACUCUGUUGAGCAUAGAGUUUCCCUGUUUUAUGAAUCAGUUUUGGAGAACUCGCCUGAUUUGUUAGUCAGAGAUGGAGUUUAAACCGUGGAUACAGAGACGGUAUAGACAUACGCCGGGAGUUAUUAAGACCUUCCUGUGGGAAAAGAUCUGCCACAUUUCAGAGGUUUGGAGCUCUCUGUGGAGCCAAUGGCGCCAUACAAUUUUUGUUACUUGAGGUGCAUUUCAUCCAUUUUGAAAAAAUUUGAAAAUGCAGAAAGAACAAGGCAAAGAAUAAUUACAGCCAUGAUUUAAUUCUGAAUAAAUCUCGCAAUAAGAUUAUGUUUUUAUUGAUGCCCCUUCAGCGUCCUGCUAAGCGUUUACCACUUUCUGUAAAUUGUAUGGGAAGAUGGGAAGAUUACAGAUCUCAUUGGGCAAAAUAGGAUAUACUAAAAGAAAACAGAUUAACCUCUUUCCUGAUAAGAAGAGAAACCGAGAGGACCAUCUGUGAGACCCAGGUUGUGAGGAAUUUCUUUUUUUAACAUGCAUCAAAAUAUAUUAAUAUACAUUGUCUUGGGCAGAUGAAAUGUGUUAUUUCUUUAAACAAGUUCAAAGAUGUUUAUGUAAAAACAGUGAAC